rnacentral:rRNA from 1 species
UACGUAGGGCGCAAGCGUUGUCCGGAAUUAUUGGGCGUAAAGAGCUCGUAGGCGGCUUAUCACGUCUGCUGUGAAAUCCCAGGGCUUAACCCUGGGCCUGCAGUGGAUACGGGUUGGCUAGAGGCAGGCAGGGGGAGAACGGAAUUCCCGGUGUAGCGGUGAAAUGCGCAGAUAUCGGGAGGAACACCGGUGGCGAAGGCGGUUCUCUGGGCCUGUUCUGACGCUGAGGAGCGAAAGCGUGGGGAGCAAACAGG